CGGUAAAAAUUUCAUCUAUUUCUACUGGUAAAAAUUGGGACGGUUGACAAAAUAGCUAGACAGUUACACAUGGUGUGUCAAGUGUACUUCAUGUUGAUGUACAUAGACCAUUUUUUUAACAAUGGAAAUGGAUGAAUUUUUUAAUA
rfam:Gossypium raimondii Chr07_contig_1426, whole genome shotgun sequence.